AUCCGUGGAUUAGGUUGUUGCCUUUUCCGGUUGGUGGGGUCAGGGGGAAAUGGAUGCACCGUCUAGUGUCUUCUCGGCCUAUUGCAGGUUGGGGACUGGAGUCGUCGAGAGAAGGCGAGCCGGCGACAGACCAUGGAGUUCUUGAUGCAGUCCAUACGCGGAUCCUCUUUCCUGGAGGAGGCAGGCGAGAGUAUGGUGCCACCUCCUGUGCCGGAGCAGCAACUGCCGGAUCAGGGUGUGGUGGAGCAGGCACCGGCGAUGAGAGAUGGACUGGUGGCGGAGCAGGGUGCGGGGGAGCUGGCACCGGCGGAUGGCAGCGCGGACACCCAGAUCUUGGCGGUCGCUGACGCGGCGGUGGAAAGGAGGGAGAUAUCCCCCCCGGCUUUGGAACUGUCAACCGGAAAGAUGAAUCCCCGAGCCCCUGGGUGGAACAAAAGGUUGACGAUUGGAGCUGCAGCACCUUGCCCAAACCCGCGCCAAUGCAUUUGAGAAGGCUGUCAGGAGCUUUGUUGGGAACCCAGCUGAUAAUAUGAUUACAUUAGUUAUUGGCACUAGAUUUGACUCGGUGGGUGAGGCGUAUGACUUCUAGAAUUUGUACUCAUGGGACAAGGGCUUUGGCAUUUGAUACAAUAAGAUCCAGCUGAACGUGGAGAGGACAAAAUGGAUGCAGGAAAUAGUUUGUGGGUGUGCGGUGACAGCUGGUGUCGAGAACACAGGGUCCAAGCUUACAGUGAAGGUAGAAUCAAGAAUCUGAUGUGGGCAAGUGGGCGCAGCAGGCUGUAGUACUCGUUUGGGGAUGUCAUAACAUUCGACGCAACAUACAGUACCAACCUAUAUGACAUGCCUUUCGGCCUAUUUGUUGGGGUUAACAAACACUUCCAGAGUGUGAUUAUGGCUGGGGUUCUUGUUUGCGAUGAGACCUAAGAGAGUUUCAAGUGGGUUUUUUCAGAAUUCGUAAGAAUGAUGGGUGGUUCUCCACUCGUGACCAUACUUGCAGACCAAAACCGUGCUAUGGAAUUGGCUAUCGAUAACAUUAUGUCGGGGGUGACACACCGGUGGUGCAAAUGGCACAUUUUGAAGUAAGCAAAGGAGUCGUUGGGUGCUCUGUACACAAAGAAAGUGAUUUCAGGGCUGGAUUUUAUAAAGUGAUAAACCAUAUGCUGACAGAAGAUGAAUUUGAUUAAGGGUGGGAAUUAUUGUUGGACAAAUACAAACUAAGGGCACACCCAUAAAUGACUCGGCUGUUCGAGAUUCAGAAGAAAUGGGCUAAACCUUAUUUCAAGGGUUUUUUGUACAAAGACGACCAACUCACAGAGGAGUGAGAGUGCGAACCAUAUGCUGAAGAAUCACGUGCCUCCUGGGUGCCCAAUGCACAUGUUUGUGCACAAAUACUUGAGGCUACAAUUCGACCGGGAAUCAGAGGAGAACUAUGAAGAGAAAAGAAUGCAAAUUGUAAGUGUUAUCUUGAAAAUCUAUUUCGUACGACAUUUGUGCCACUCAUUGCAUAUAAAAGAUUACUUUAGAACGAUGCUGACUGAUGAGAAAUACAAGGAAGGCCACUCAUGAGAGCAAACCUGGCAGUGGAGAGGCAUGCUAGCAAGAUAUAUACAAGGGCCAUGUUUGAGCAGUUUGGUCAUAUAUUGUACGAAUGUGAAGCUUAUCAGGUGGAAGAGAUCGAGACACACAAGACAUAUGUUGCAAUCCAUAGCGAAGCAGAAAAGAGUAAGUGGUGUAGAGUGUCAUACAAGGUAACUAUGCUUGACGGAGGCAAUGAAUUCGACUGUGAGUGCGGACAAUUUGCACACAUGGGCCUACUUUGCAGUCAUGUGUUGAAAGUUUGUGCUUAAUGAUUGCCGGUUCAUUUUGAUUCAUUUCUGGUUGAAUGAUGGAUUUCCCGAUCCAGUAUUGAGUUGUGGCUUUUCUGUCACAGGUGCUAGAUUUCAUUUGGGCCAAAGAAAUACAAGCGAAGCAUCGUGAAGAGGUGGACGAAGGAUGCUCGGGACAUACUGCUGCACACUUAGCACAAUAUCAGAAAGACAGUAUGCAGAACAUCCCGUACGCGUAAAGGCACUUCACCAUGUAAUGCAUGCGAUGGAGCUGGUCAGGCUCGGUGACACCAGUGUGGAAGUGUACAAUCAGUUGAUGGACCUCUUCAAGUCGAACUUGUCAGUAAUGUUACCGUACGCAGAAAUUAGAGAUGGUCUUGGUCUAGAGGAUAGGCUUGCAGACAAGGGAGAUGUGGUGAACCAAUCAAACCCAAUGAUAGUAGUAAGAGAACAGAACCAUAGUGGGCAGCAAGCUAUGGCUGAUUUUGGAGAGACUGACUCAAUGUCAAGGACAAGCAACUGCUUGGACGGGCUUCUGGCACCAGCGAAAAGGAAGGAGAUGGGUCGGCCAACAGCGAGUAGGAAAAAAUCUCCAUAUGAAGGACUUAGCAAGAGGACCAGAUUUUGCACCAUAUGCCGUAGGCAAGCACACAAGCGAACAGCUUGUCCAGACCGUGGCGACAUCCCAAAGCAGCGUCGGAAGCCUGCUAGAUGCAAAAACUGUGGUAUCGAGGGACAUCGACGAAGCAACUGCACUAAGGCAAUGGAACUUAGGAUGCCAGGAGGAAUGUAGUAGCCAAAUAGGAAUGGAAGUUAAGCAAAGUAACUUGUUUGUUAGGGUCUGUAUUAUGUAACAUUCUUGUUGAUGUUGUCAAUUAGGAUCUGAACGAAGGGUUUCAACUCUUUUACGUUA